rnacentral:rRNA from 1 species
UACGGGGGGAGCAAGCGUUGUUCGGAUUUACUGGGCGUAAAGGGCGCGUAGGCGGCCACCGCAAGUCGACUGUGAAAUCUCCGGGCUUAACCCGGAAAGGUCAGCCGAUACUGUCGGACUAGAGUACAGAAGGGGCAACUGGGAAUUCUCGGUGUAGCGGUGAAAUGCGUAGAUAUCGAGAGGAACACCUGCGGCGAAGGCGGGUUGCUGGGCUGAUACUGACGCUGAGGCGCGAAAGCCAGGGGAGCGAACGGG